rnacentral:tRNA from 1 species
GCCCGAGUGGUGAAAUUGGUAGACACACUAUCUUGAGGGGGUAGCGCCGCAAGGCAUCUCGGUUCGAAUCCGAGCUCGGGCACCA